UUUUUAAAUGGAAUCUUGUAUGAAUGGUUGAACAAAAGAAAAGCUGUCUUUAAAAUAAUAUUUGAAUUUAACUUUUAAGUGAGAAGGCUUAAAUAUUCUAGAGGGACGAUAAGACCCUAUAAAGCUUUAUAUUAUAGUUAUAUUUAAUUAAAUUUGGUUAAUAAAAGUUUAAUUUAAUUAUUAUGUUAUGUUGGGGAGAUAUUAGUAAAAUUUUAGAUAACUGCUAGAAAAAGAGACAAAUAUAAGUGACUAAAAUAAUAGGAGAUCCUAGGUAUAGAUUAAAAGAUUAAGUUACUUUAGGGAUAACAGUGUAAUUUUUUUUGAGAGUUCAUAUCGAAAAAAAAGUUUGCAACCUCGAUGUUGAAUUAAGAUAUCUUUAUAAUGUAGAUGUUAUAUUAGAAGGUCUGUUCGACCUUUAAAUUUUUAC
rnacentral:rRNA from 1 species